rnacentral:rRNA from 1 species
CCUACGGGUGGCAGCAGUCGAGAAUCAUUCACAAUGGGGGAAACCCUGAUGGUGCGACGCCGCGUGGGGGAAUGAAGGUCUUCGGAUUGUAAACCCCUGUCAUGUGGGAGCAAAUUAAAAAGAUAGUACCACAAGAGGAAGAGACGGCUAACUCUGUGCCAGCAGCCGCGGUAAUACAGAGGUCUCAAGCGUUGUUCGGAAUCACUGGGCGUAAAGCGUGCGUAGGCUGUUUCGUAAGUCGUGUGUGAAAGGCGCGGGCUCAACCCGCGGACGGCACAUGAUACUGCGAGACUAGAGUAAGGGAGGGGGAACCGGAAUUCUCGGUGGAGCAGUGAAAUGCGUAGAUAUCGAGAGGAACACUCGUGGCGAAGGCGGGUUCCUGGACAUUAACUGACGCUGAGGCACGAAGGCCAGGGGAGCGAAAGGGAUUAGAUACCCGGGUAGUC